rnacentral:lncRNA from 1 species
CUCACAUUGAAGUGGGUGGGGCUCUGAUCCUUUCAGAGGACAGGGAGGAAAGUCAUCUAAAGUAAAGGAGCAAAACUGUCAGAUUAAGCGGCACAAGACACUACCCUUGUGGGUGGAAUAGCCAGUGCCAAAUAAGCAGGAUGGCUGACUUUUAAGAUGUGUCCUGGUUGGGGUUAUUUUCUUCUUGUUUCAUUUGAUUGUUCAACUCAUUUAUUUAUUAUAAUUCUCCAUUAUCUCCAAACCUGUAACAAAAAUUUGUCAUGUCAACUAACCAUACGUUAAUGGGACUUUGUUAAAUGCAGGAGUACAAGUUACUUUCAUACUUUAGGGCAAAAUGAAGGAGAAAAUGGAGCAAACCAGCUCUGCAGGGGGAUCAAAGGGCAAGGACAUUGUUAGAAACACUGUAUCCCGUGUCCUGAAAAGCAGAAGGAUGCUAGUGCAAGACCAGAGUCCCAAGCAAGGCUUUCUCCAGGAGCUAUUUUCCUCCACCUGUUCACAUGCCCAUGCUAUCCACAGAAUUCAUGAGGAGAAGCAUCCUUCUGGAAGACCAUCUGGAAUUGGACAACUCUGCUGAUGGGAUCAGCUCCCUCCACCCCAGCUUGGCCUGCAGAAGAACCUUCGCCAUGGCUCUCAGGAUGAAGGUGCCAAGUCUAGGUUCCCAGGCAUCUCUGAAGCCUCCAUCCUCUCUGGAAGCAUGGCGCAGGGCUCUGCCUCCCCUGGACUGUCCAAACCUGUCUCCUCUUCUAAACACCUUCACCUUGUUCCCUCGCAGCCCCUAUUCUUCUUGGCUAUGCAAUCCUCAUUCGCCUAGAUGUUGCAAAUAAAGAGUUGUGCCAUUUGGGGCUGGAGAUGAUUUGAGGGGGCACCUAUCUCCACUUUGCUGGAAUCAGAAAAAAAGCUAUCAACUUCCCCUAGAGCAGGGGAGCCCCAAUUCUGAAACCCACAAGCCCAAAGGAAAAGGAGAGAAUACCUUUUCCUAGUACUGGUGAAUGGAAAUUGCAUUC